rnacentral:rRNA from 1 species
GACGUAGGGCGCGAGCGUUGUCCGGAUUUAUUGGGCGUAAAGAGCUCGUAGGCGGCUUGUCGCGUCGAAUGUGAAAACCUAAGGCUCAACCUUGGGCUUGCAGUGGGUACGGGCAGACUAGAGUGCGGUAGGGGUGACUGGAAUUCCUGGUGUAGCGGUGGAAUGCGCAGAUAUCAGGAGGAACACCGAGUGGCGAAGGCAGGUCACUGGGCCGCAACUGACGCUGGAGGAGCGAAAGCAUGGGGAGCGAACAGG